ACCACGUUCUUCGUUCAUCCAGAAGAAACAACUCCUUGUCUGUUCAAGUUUGAUCAUGAGAUUACAGCAAUUCGGUCACAUCUCCAGGCUCCCCUUCUAAUUCUGGUUUUCUUAACUAUUUUCACCACGCCUGAAAUUUCUUCAUCCACUGAAGCCUUGAACCCCUCAAAGUCAUCCAUGAGGGCUGGAAUCAACUUCUUCCAAACUCCCGUUCAUGUUGAUAUUUUGACUUCCUCCCAUGAAUCAUGAAUUUUCUUAAAGGCAUCAAGAAUGGGGAAUCCUUUCCAGAAGAUUUUCAAUUUGCUGUGCCCAGAUCCAACAGAAGAAUCACUAUCUAUGACAGCUAUAGCCUUACAAGAUGUAUUUCUUAAAUAAUAAUGCUUUAAAGUCAAAGUAACUCCUUGAACCAUGGACUGCAGAAUGAAUGUUGUGUUAGCAGGCAUGAAAACAAUAUUAAUCUCUUUGAACAUCUCCAUCGAACCUCUUGGGUGACCAGGUGCAUUGCCAAUAAGCAGUAAUAUUUUGAGAGGAAUCUUCAUUUCUGGGCAUCGAGUCCCAAUAGUGGGCUUAAAAUACUCAGCAAACCAUGCUAACCUGUUGUCUGCCAUGACCAGGAGCUCCAUUCUCACACCUCUCUUUCUGGCCUCGCUCAUCUCAGCCCAUGCAACAUAAAACAGAUUAAGACCGAAGUCCAGCCAGAAUGAAGGUCUUGAGGUAGGAAAGAACAUGGCCAAGUUCACACAACUGGAAGAAAGUCAGUGAGGCUGGAGCAAACAAAGGAAGCAGAGAGUUACAAGACAGACAGUUGUCUCCUGGCCUGUUAAAUGUGUCCAUGACUACACAGAAAUUCCUGCCUAUUGCCUGCUUUCCUGAUGGAGAAGUUCAUGAUCUGCAAUAAUCAUCAGUGAACUGCAGCCUUUAUGCCAAUUCUGGCCCACUGCUUGUUUUUUUCAAUAAAGUUUUGUUGGAACACAG